CUGGCGGCGUGCUUACCUUGCUAGUCGAGCGUGAAGGCCCUUCGGGGUACUCGAGCGGCGAACGGGUGAGUAACACGUGAGUAACCUGCCCCAGACUUUGGGAUAACCCUCGGAAACGGGGGCUAAUACCGAAUAUGACUGCCGGCCGCAUGGUUGGUGGUGGAAAGUUUUUCGGUUUGGGAUGGACUCGCGGCCUAUCAGCUUGUUGGUGAGGUAAUGGCUCACCAAGGCGAGGACGGGUAGCCGGCCUGAGAGGGCGACCGGCCACACUGGGACUGAGACACGGCCCAGACUCCUACGGGAGGCAGCAGUGGGGAAUAUUGCACAAUGGGCGGAAGCCUGAUGCAGCGACGCCGCGUGAGGGAUGACGGCCUUCAGGUUGUAAACCUCUUUCAGCAGGGACGAUGCGCAAGUGACGGUACCUGCAGAAGAAGCGCCGGCCAACUACGUGCCAGCAGCCGCGGUUAA
rnacentral:rRNA from 1 species